GAUUAGGUAGUUGCUGGAGUAACGUCCCAACAAGCCGAUAAUCGGUACGGGUUGUGAGAGCAAGAGCCCGGAGAUGGAUUCUGAGACACGAAUCCAGGUCCUACGGGGCGCAGCAGGCGCGAAAACUUUACACUGCGCGAAAGCGCGAUAAGGGGACCUCGAGUGCGUGCGCAAAGCGUACGCUUUUCAGAUGCCUAAAAAGCAUCUGGAAUAAGGGCCGGGCAAGACCGGUGCCAGCCGCCGCGGUAACACCGGCGGCUCAAGUGGUGGCCGCUAUUAUUGGGCUUAAAGGGUCCGUAGCCGGACCAGUUAGUCCCUUGGGAAAUCUUACGGCUUAACCGUAAGGCUGCCAAUGGAUACUGCUGGUCUUGGGACCGGGAGAGGCAAGAGGUACCUCAGGGGUAGGAGUGAAAUCCUGUAAUCCUUGAGGGACCGCCAGUGGCGAAGGCGUCUUGCUAGAACGGGUCCGACGGUGAGGGACGAAAGCUAGGGGCACGAACCGGAUUAGAUACCCGGGUAGUCCUAGCCGUAAACGAUGCGAGCUAGGUGUCACGUGGAUUGCGAAUCCAUGUGGUGCCGAAGGGAAACCGUGAAGCUCGCCGCCUGGGAAGUACGGCCGCAAGGCUGAAACUUAAAGGAAUUGGCGGGGGAGCAC
rnacentral:rRNA from 1 species